GAUGAACGCUGGCGGCGUGCCUAAUACAUGCAAGUCGAGCGAACAGACGAGGAGCUUGCUCCUCUGACGUUAGCGGCGGACGGGUGAGUAACACGUGUAUAACCUACCUAUAAGACUGGGAUAACUUCGGGAAACCGGAGCUAAUACCGGAUAAUAUAUUGAACCGCAUGGUUCAAUAGUGAAAGACGGUUUUGCUGUCACUUAUAGAUGGAUCCGCGCCGCAUUAGCUAGUUGGUAAGGUAACGGCUUACCAAGGCAACGAUGCGUAGCCGACCUGAGAGGGUGAUAGGCCACACUGGAACUGAGACACGGUCCAGACUCCUACGGGAGGCAGCAGUAGGGAAUCUUCCGCAAUGGGCGAAAGCCUGACGGAGCAACGCCGCGUGAGUGAUGAAGGUCUUCGGAUCGUAAAACUCUGUUAUUAGGGAAGAACAAAUGUGUAAGUAAAUAUGCACGUCUUGACGGUACCUAAUCAGAAAGCCACGGCUAACUACGUG
rnacentral:rRNA from 1 species